CAGCCGGCGCGGUAAUACCAGCACCCCGAGUGGUCGGGACGAUUAUUGGGCCUAAAGCAUCCGUAGCCGGUCCUGCAAGUCCUCCGUUAAAUCCACCCGCUCAACGGUUGGGCCGCGGGGGAUACUACAGGGCUAGGAGGCGGGAGAGGCAAGCGGUACUCGAUGGGUAGGGGUAAAAUCCACUGAUCCAUUGAAGACCACCAGUGGCGAAGGCGGCUUGCCAGAACGCGCUCGGCGGUGAGGGAUGAAAGCUGGGGGGGCAAACCGGAUUAGAUACCCGGGUAGUCCCAGCUGUAAACGAUGCAGACUCAGUGAUGGGCUGGCUUCGUGCCAACCCGGUGCCGCAGGGAAGCCGUUAAGUCUACCGCCUGGGGAGUACGGUCGCAAGACUGAAACUUAAAGGAAUUGUUUGGGGAGUAC
rnacentral:rRNA from 2 species